GGGUUGUGAGGUUAAGCGACUAAGCGUACACGGUGGAUGCCCUGGCAGUCAGAGGCGAUGAAGGACGUGCUAAUCUGCGAUAAGCGUCGGUAAGGUGAUAUGAACCGUUAUAACCGGCGAUUUCCGAAUGGGGAAACCCAGUGUGUUUCGUCACACUAUCAUUAACUGAAUCCAUAGGUUAAUGAGGCGAACCGGGGGAACUGAAACAUCUAAGUACCCCGAGGAAAAGAAAUCAACCGAGAUUCCCCCAGUAGCGGCGAGCGAACGGGGAGGAGCCCAGAGCCUGAAUCAGUGUGUGUGUUAGUGGAAGCGUCUGGAAAGGCGCGCGAUACAGGGUGACAGCCCCGUACACAAAAAUGCACAUGCUGUGAGCUCGAUGAGUAGGGCGGGACACGUGGUAUCCUGUCUGAAUAUGGGGGGACCAUCCUCCAAGGCUAAAUACUCCUGACUGACCGAUAGUGAACCAGUACCGUGAGGGAAAGGCGAAAAGAA
rnacentral:rRNA from 1 species